UAUACUAUAGUUUAUAAAUUUAAAACCAUGAAUUGCAAAUUCAAAAAUGAAAAUACUUUCUAGUAUAU
rnacentral:tRNA from 1 species